CCCUUUAGGAAGGAAGAGAACCUCAUCGCCAGUCCUCGCCUGGAUUCUCGCGCCAUCCGGUGAGGUGCAUGAUCCCACACGCCGACAGAAGGUUUCUGCCUCGUGUACAUGCGCCGGGGAGUGAGCCUGUUCCUGGUCAAUUUUUCCAGCCGCACUUGUUUUCGAUGACAUCCCUAGUGUACCGCGCCUUUGCCCAGCCCAUUCCUAUCUCUUGGUUUGCAAUUUUGUUUUUGGGUAUUUGUCUUUUGCCUACUGUUUCUUUUAAUCAGUUCUCUGAAUCAUGUCUGAUGCAAAAAAUUCAGUAGUUGAAGGGAAAAUGACUACUACAACUGAAAAUCCCUCAUUAAUUAUUAGCCCCGUAAAGCUUGAUGGGAUAAAUUACCUUGAAUGGUUUAGAUCGUGUCUCCUUUUUAUUCAAGCUAGAGGGUUGCAGGGUUAUCUUACUGGAGAUAAGCAAAAAUCAGAAAAGUCUGCUUCUACCUACAGUCAGUGGAAGUU
rnacentral:misc_RNA from 1 species